UUUAAAUGUUUUAUUGUCUCUCCAGACUGGUGGUUGAGGUUCACCAUUGUGUCUGUGGGUUUAGCUGCACUCAUAAUAAUUGUUGUGGCCGUCAACAUGUGGACGAGAAAUAAAGAGAAGAAGACACAGAUGGAAGAAAUCGCUGUGCGUUAUGAUGAAGAUGAUGGUACAGUGAACUAUGAAAACAUCACACCCUCUGAUAGAGAUUUGACCAACACUUCUGCCUCCAUCAGACUCCGCUAAUAAACUCAUCACGUCGUGCAGGACCACUAAAAGAUUGUAAAAAAAACAAAGAAAGAAUCACUUUAUUUUUGUCUGAAAUCUUUUCCUGCAUCAGCUGAAAAAAGUUUUCUCAUCUGCAGUCAGUCUAGACAAACAGCAGCUGCAUUUUGACUUUAUUGAACAGAGAAGAGCUUUCAGUUCUUGUUCACUUCCUUAAAUUUUCUUCCAGCUAAAGAUUUCAGAGCUGAUUUUUAUGUUUACUGCCCGUUAUUGAAGCUACAGCAGCUUGAGCUAUUUUUUUUUUUCAUGUUUCUGUGCGCAGAACAACUCAUUUUAAUUCACUUUCAUUUAGCAUAACUGUGAACAUGUUUGUGGGUGUGUGAAUGUGUCUGUGAACGUGUUUAACUGGGUUUUCAGCCUUAAUGGAGUCAGUAACCACCUUCUUUUUAUUAUAUCUAAAAAUAACGAGAAAAUAAAGAAAUUCUACACUUUA